GUGGGGAAUAUUGGACAAUGGGUGAAAGCCUGAUCCAGCCAUGCCGCGUGUGUGAAGAAGGUCUUCGGAUUGUAAAGCACUUUAAGUUGGGAGGAAGGGCAGUAAGUUAAUACCUUGCUGUUUUGACGUUACCGACAGAAUAAGCACCGGCUAACUUCGUGCCAGCAGCCGCGGUAAUACGAAGGGUGCAAGCGUUAAUCGGAAUUACUGGGCGUAAAGCGCGCGUAGGUGGUUUUGUAAGUUGGAGGUGAAAUCCCCGGGCUCAACCUGGGAACUGCCUCCAAAACUGCAUGACUAGAGUACGGUAGAGGGUAGUGGAAUUUCCUGUGUAGCGGUGAAAUGCGUAGAUAUAGGAAGGAACACCAGUGGCGAAGGCGACUACCUGGACUGAUACUGACACUGAGGUGCGAAAGCGUGGGGAGCAAACAGGAUUAGAUACCCGGGUAGUCC
rnacentral:rRNA from 1 species